rnacentral:snoRNA from 1 species
AGGCAUCCAAGACUUGGAACAGUUAAUGUCUGCUGCUAAGGUUUCUACUACAGAUACAAGAAAAAUAAGGUCCUCACAAUUUCUGUCUGUCUGGUUGUGGCAGCCAAGAUUGAAAGGGGGAAUACAUGU